rnacentral:rRNA from 1 species
GCUAGUAAUCGUGGAUCAGCAUGCCACGGUGAAUACGUUCCCGGGUCUUGUACACACCGCCCGUCACACCAUGGGAGCCGGUAAUACCCGAAGCCGGUGGCCUAACCACUUAUGUGGAAGGAGCCGUCUAAGGCAGGGCAGAUGACUGGGGUGAAGUCGUAACAAGGUAAC